rnacentral:tRNA from 1 species
GGAAGGUUGUCCGAGCUGGCCGAAGGAGCACGCCUGGAAAGUGUGUAGGCGUCACAAGCGUCUCAAGGGUUCGAAUCCCUUACCUUCCGC